ACAGCAGGUCGCCUUAUCGCAUGGUUGUUUACAGCCAUGAGGAAAGUCCGGACACCAUAGGACAGCAUAACGGUUAACGGCCGUCAUUAUGUUGAGUGCAGGUGGCUCUUAGGAGUUCGCUUUCGCGAAAGCGUAAUAGGACAAGUGCAACAGAAAGCAGGUACAGGUAAUGCUGUAGUGAAACCAGGUAAACUCUAUGCGGUGCAAUGUCAUGUAUAUCAGAGCUUGAGCGCGGUUCGUGCGAUUCUGAAGGGUAGACAGAUAGAGGUUAUGGGCAACCAUAAUCCUAGAUAAAUGAUAAGGUGCUGCGUUUGCGCGCAGUAACAGAAUCCGGCUUAUAGACCUGCUUUUUUA
rnacentral:RNase_P_RNA from 1 species